UCAACCUGUAACUCAAUCAAUGGUCAAUGCGGUUAAAUUGCGGCGCACAAAGGGGACUUUAAGGGCUCGAUUCGACUCCACUCAUUAUUGAUUCACAAUGCACACACCCAAACACAAACACACUCUUUUUGUUUUCCCAAUUAGGAUGGCAGUGGAAUUCCAACCGCUCCAACCACCGAUAUCACCUCAUUAUUGCUGCUAAAUCCAUGCGCAGACACAACGACUUCCGUUCUGGCUAGAAUGAAAUUUAUAAUGACAGCAAACAGCAAACAAACAAACAACCAAACAAACAAACAAAUCAUGCUCCCAAAUCCUGUACCCUGCGUACAAUUAUGGCUAAAAGUUGAACGAUACAACUAAAAUGUAAUCAGCCAGGACCUCCACAACGUGCAUACAUAGCCAUGUCUGUGUCUUUGUUCCCGCCUUUGUUGGCCACUCGCCCUUAAUGCUUUUUUAGUAAAUAAUUUAUAUUCAAUUUUCAAAUAAAUUGCCAACAAAAAUAGUUAGCAAACAAAGUGAG